rnacentral:rRNA from 1 species
UACGUAGGUGGCAAGCGUUGUCCGGAUUUACUGGGCGUAAAGAGCGCGCAGGCGGUUGGAUAAGUCGAAUGUGAAAGCCCCCGGCUCAACUGGGGAGGGUCAUUCGAUACCGUCCGACUCGAAGGCAGGAGAGGGAAGCGGAAUUCCCGGUGUAGUGGUGAAAUGCGUAGAUAUCGGGAGGAACACCAGUGGCGAAGGCGGCUUUCUGGCCUGUUCUUGACGCUGAGGCGCGAAAGCCAGGGGAGCAAACGGG